UACGUAGGUGGCAAGCGAUACUCGGAAUCACUAGGCGUAAAGCGCAGGUAGGCGGUUUGAUAAGUCUGUUGUGAAAGCUCCCGGCUUAACUGGGAGAGGUCAACGGAAACUGUCAGGCUAGAGUGUGGUAGAGGUAGCUGGAAUUCCCGGUGUAGCGGUGAAAUGCGUAGAUAUCGGGAGGAAUACCUAUGCGAAAGCAGGCUACUGGACCAUCACUGACGCUGAUCUGCGAAAGCUAGGGGAGCAAACAGG
rnacentral:rRNA from 1 species